rnacentral:rRNA from 1 species
UAUGAUCAGAUUGACGCUGGCGGCAGGCUYAACACAUGCAAGUCGAGCGGGAGAAGGUAGCUUGUUACUGGACACAGCGGCGGACGGGUUAGUUAUGCUUAGGGAUAUGCCUAUUAGUAGGGGGACAACAUCUUGAAAGCGAUACUUAUUCCGCAUACAUCCURCGGGAGCAAGCAGGGGAUCUUCGGACCUUGCUCUCAUAGAGGAUCCUAAGUCGGAUUAACUAGUUGGUGGGGUAAAGGCCUACCAAGGCGACGAUCUUUAACGGGUUUGAGAGGAAGAUCCACCACCAUGGGAAUGAGACACGGCCCAAAUUCCUUCGGGAGGCAACAGUGGGGAAUAUUGGACAAAGGGCGCAAACCUGAUCCAACCAUUCCGGGUGUGGGAAGAAGGCCUUAUGGUUGUAAAACACUUUAAACGAGGAGGAGGGUACUUUAGAUAAUACCCAGAGAUAGUGGACGUUACUCGCAGAAUAAGCACCGGCUAACUCUGUGCCAGCAGCCGCGGUAAUACAGAGGGUGCAAGCGUUAAUCGGAUUUACUGGGCGUAAAGCGCGCGCAGGCGGUUAAUUAAGUCAAAUGUGAAAUCCCCGAGCUUAACUUGGGAAUUGCAUUCGAUACUGGCUAGCUAGAGUGUGGGAGAGGAUGGUAGAAUUCCAGGUGUAGCGGUGAAAUGCGUAGAGAUCUGGAGGAAUACCGAUGGCGAAGGCAGCCAUCUGGCCUAACACUGACGCUGAGGUGCGAAAGCAUGGGGAGCAAACAGGAUUAGAUACCCUGGUAGUCCAUGCCGUAAACGAUGUCUACUAGCCGUUGGUGCCUUUGAGGCGUUAUUGUCGCAGCUAACGCGAUAAGU